ACGGAAGGCAGCAGUGGGGAAUAUUGGACAAUGGGGGAAACCCUGAUGCAGCGACGCCGCGUGGGUGAAGAAGUUUUUCGGAAUGUAAAGCCCUAUCAGCAGGGAAGAUAAUGACGGUACCUGACUAAGAAGCCCCGGCUAACUACGUGCCAGCAGCCGCGGUAAUACGUAUGGUGCAAGCGUUAUCCGGAUUUACUGGGUGUAAAGGGUGCGUAGGUGGUAUGGCAAGUCAGAAGUGAAAUGCGGGGGCUCAACCCCUGAACUGCUUUUGAAACUGUCAAACUAGAGUGCAGGAGAGGAAAGCGGAAUUCCUAGUGUAGCGGUGAAAUGCGUAGAUAUUAGGAGGAACACCAGUGGCGAAGGCGGCUUUCUGGACUGUAACUGACACUGAGGCACGAAAGCGUGGGGAGCAAACAGGAUUAGAUACCCUGGUA
rnacentral:rRNA from 1 species